rnacentral:lncRNA from 1 species
GUCAGUAAGUAUGGGACUAUUAAAUCAAUUUAAGUCCAAGAGCUAAUGGAAAUUUAAUUAUAUUUCAAAUCCUGCAACAUUUUUAUCACACAUUCCCUUUACACCAUGUACACAUUCAAUGAACAUUCUGUGUCUCAUUCAAGCAUACUUAAAACUCCAGAAUAUGUAUUUAUUCUAUAUAUGUACCAUUAUCUCUGUAACUUAAAUUUGUAUUUAGUUUAUGAGAAUAAAAUAUUCCAAAACUGCAGAAUAUUUUCUUUUACAGCUUAUUUCCUAAAGCUUGUAGAGC